AUAGUAUUGCGUAUCGCCAUGGACAUUAACUUGAGUCACGUGACUUGAAUAUUUGAAGCACUUCGAUGCAACAACGAUACUCAAAGCGCUCAAAGCUUCAAACAGUAAGUUUUCAGGAGAUAAGGCAUACAACAGGACUCGAAAACUUGGGCUGGCCGUCAUUUCUCAAGAGUAAAGUCUACCAAAAACAAGCCGUAUCCCUGUAAUGUAUGGGACACAGACAACAGAAGCAUGACCAUCUGUCGGUAUUUUGCACAAGGCUGGUGUCGUUUUGGCGACAGAUGCCGUUUUGAGCAUGUGGACAACAGCUACCAGAGUCUGCAACCACAACGAGAACGGGACCGAUACCACUGGGUGAAACCUGGAGCCCACAAUACCUCCACAGCCACCAGAGCUGCAUCAUUCGACUUUAACGCUACCCUCCAAACUGCCAGAGCCAGCGAACAGGGAGGGUGGUCCCGAGGAGGAGGAGGAUGGGACCAGGGCCGCCACCAGAACAGCUCCUUCUCCCAUGGGGGAUCUUUCUUUGAUUAUGCACCCAAACCUGGUGGAGGCUACAGAGAGCCUUUUAAAGAGGAGCCGCGCAGUUGGGGUCAACCUCGGACGGCGUUCGGCAGUGCUGCAGCUUUUGACUUCAACAGAGCGCUGGAUACUGCCAGGAGAAAGGAUGCCGACCGAUACGUCGCAGAGGACAUGGACAUGGUGGAAAGCCAGGGCUGGGAAACUGGAAGAAGUGGUAGCAGACGGCCAUCUCAACAGG